rnacentral:lncRNA from 1 species
AUGAUCAAAGGGUUUCAAAAUUUAUAAUUUUAAUGGUCGAUAUGAGGUGUUCUCUCGUUUAACGGCGUAAAGAUAUACAAAUCAAUUGAAUUUUUGUUAGAAAAUUUUUUAAACUAUUUAAAAUAAGAUCUAUACUCUUGAUCAUGAUUACAAAACUCCUAUCAUCAUUUUUUAAAAAAUAUUCAUUUUCAGCCGUUCAUUUUUGUGUCCACUCGAUGGAUAAGAGAACAAUAUCGAAAAUAUAUGAAAUUUGAUUUCUAAACACUUCAAGUGGCAUAGAUCAUGUUCAACGGUGCCGAUUGUUGAUUUGGAGGUUCCAUCAUCGAAAACAAAUGGGUGGCAACGGAGCCCGUUUGCUAUUGAUAGUAUUCUAGCUCAACUAUAUAUAUAUAUAUAU